rnacentral:rRNA from 1 species
UACGUAAGGUGCGAGCGUUGUCCGGAAUUACUGGGAGUAAAGAGCUCGUAGGUGGUUUGUCGCGUUGUCCGUGAAAACUCACAGCUUAACUGUGGGCGUGCGGGCGAUACGGGCAGACUGGAGUACUGCAGGGGAGACUGGAAUUCCUGGUGUAGCGGUGGAAUGCGCAGAUAUCAGGAGGAACACCGGUGGCGAAGGCGGGUCUCUGGGCAGUAACUGACGCUGAGGAGCGAAAGCGUGGGGAGCGAACAGG